rnacentral:lncRNA from 1 species
GAUCACAGGAUGCAAGGAUUUCAGACAGGUAUCUGGAGCAGCAGGUAAAAGUUAGUUCCUAGUUUUUCUCUCUCUAAAUUUCUCUCUCGAGUUAAAGUCUGCUUCCAUUGCAGGAUCAGUGACCAAGAUUGGACAGGCUUCCAUGAAUCAAAACUUAAUGGUGGUUGCCACCAAGUUCUGUUCACUUCUUUUUGACCUAUAUCCAAGAGUUCUUUGCGAAAGCAAGCCUUGAAGAUUGUCGCCUCCAAGUCCCAUUUCAAACUCUUUUUUUUUGAGUCUUUAUGAAUCAAGCCUUAAUGGUUUUAACCACCAAGUCCUGUUUCGACUCAUCCUAAUUAAACAAUAGAUCUAAUUUAUUUUUUUAUUAUUUUUUAUUAUUUAUUAUUAUUAUUAUUAUUUUUUUUAUUAUUAUUAUUAAAUACUCACUAACUAAUCUAGGGUCGAAAUCUAGAGAGAGAAAAUGUGAUAAAUAAUCAAAACCAGGGGUUACCUUCCAGACCUGUCUGAAGAAUCCGAUCCCAUGUAUACCAAGCCCCAAGACAAGCGGUUAUGUCAGGUUUAGUGUUGGAAAUCAGCUUUGGUUACUUCAUACGGUUCAAGGCAAGUGUGUAGUUGAUAGGUUGAUCCGCUUUAGCAUCUUUAGUGCUAUCUGCAAUCAGUAAAUCUAAAAUGGUGCUAAAGAUUGGUUUGAUAUUCAUGUUUAAAUCAAUAUAAGAUUAUAGUCCCUCUUUUCAAUAGCUAAGCAUAAUUUAUUUGAAAUUCUUUUUU